rnacentral:rRNA from 1 species
GGGUUGUGAGGUUAAGCGACUAAGCGUACACGGUGGAUGCCCUGGCAGUCAGAGGCGAUGAAGGACGUGCUAAUCUGCGAAAAGCGUCGGUAAGGUGAUAUGAACCGUUAUAACCGGCGAUGUCCGAAUGGGGAAACCCAGUGCAAUUCGUUGCACUAUCGUUAACUGAAUACAUAGGUUAACGAGGCGAACCGGGGGAACUGAAACAUCUAAGUACCCCGAGGAAAAGAAAUCAACCGAGAUUCCCCCAGUAGCGGCGAGCGAACGGGGAGCAGCCCAGAGUCUGAAUCAGCUUGUGUGUUAGUGGAACGGUCUGGAAAGUCCGACGGUACAGGGUGAUAGUCCCGUACACCAAAAUGCACAGGCUGUGAACUCGAAGAGUAGGGCGGGACACGUGGUAUCCUGUCUGAAUAUGGGGGGACCAUCCUCCAAGGCUAAAUACUCCUGACUGACCGAUAGUGAACCAGUACCGUGAGGGAAAGGCGAAAAGAACCCCGGCGAGGGGAGUGAAAAAGAACCUGAAACCGUGUACGUACAAGCAGUGGGAGCACCUUCGGGUGUGACUGCGUACCUUUUGUAUAAUGGGUCAGCGACUUAUAUUCUGUAGCAAGGUUAACCGUAUAGGGGAGCCGCAGGGAAACCGAGUCUUAACUGGGCGUUAAGUUGCAGGGUAUAGACCCGAAACCCGGUGAUCUAGCCAUGGGCAGGUUGAAGGUUGGGUAACACUAACUGGAGGACCGAACCGACUAAUGUUGAAAAAUUAGCGGAUGACUUGUGGCUGGGGGUGAAAGGCCAAUCAAACCGGGAGAUAGCUGGUUCUCCCCGAAAGCUAUUUAGGUAGCGCCUCGUGAACUCAUCUUCGGGGGUAGAGCACUGUUUCGGCUAGGGGGUCAUCCCGACUUACCAACCCGAUGCAAACUACGAAUACCGAAGAAUGUUAUCACGGGAGACACACGGCGGGUGCUAACGUCCGUCGUGAAGAGGGAAACAACCCAGACCGCCAGCUAAGGUCCCAAAGUCAUGGUUAAGUGGGAAACGAUGUGGGAAGGCACAGACAGCCAGGAUGUUGGCUUAGAAGCAGCCAUCAUUUAAAGAAAGCGUAAUAGCUCACUGGUCGAGUCGGCCUGCGCGGAAGAUGUAACGGGGCUAAACCAUGCACCGAAGCUGCGGCAGCGACACUAUGUGUUGUUGGGUAGGGGAGCGUUCUGUAAGCCUGCGAAGGUGUGCUGUGAGGCAUGCUGGAGGUAUCAGAAGUGCGAAUGCUGACAUAAGUAACGAUAAAGCGGGUGAAAAGCCCGCUCGCCGGAAGACCAAGGGUUCCUGUCCAACGUUAAUCGGGGCAGGGUGAGUCGACCCCUAAGGCGAGGCCGAAAGGCGUAGUCGAUGGGAAACAGGUUAAUAUUCCUGUACUUGGUGUUACUGCGAAGGGGGGACGGAGAAGGCUAUGUUAGCCGGGCGACGGUUGUCCCGGUUUAAGCAUGUAGGCUGGUUAUCCAGGCAAAUCCGGAUAAUCAAGGCUGAGGUGUGAUGACGAGGCACUACGGUGCUGAAGUAACAAAUGCCCUGCUUCCAGGAAAAGCCUCUAAGCAUCAGGUAACAUUAAAUCGUACCCCAAACCGACACAGGUGGUCAGGUAGAGAAUACCAAGGCGCUUGAGAGAACUCGGGUGAAGGAACUAGGCAAAAUGGUGCCGUAACUUCGGGAGAAGGCACGCUGGUGUGUAGGUGAAGUCCCUGCGGAUGGAGCUGAGACCAGUCGAAGAUACCAGCUGGCUGCAACUGUUUAUUAAAAACACAGCACUGUGCAAACACGAAAGUGGACGUAUACGGUGUGACGCCUGCCCGGUGCCGGAAGGUUAAUUGAUGGGGUUAUCCGUAAGGAGAAGCUCUUGAUCGAAGCCCCGGUAAACGGCGGCCGUAACUAUAACGGUCCUAAGGUAGCGAAAUUCCUUGUCGGGUAAGUUCCGACCUGCACGAAUGGCGUAAUGAUGGCCAGGCUGUCUCCACCCGAGACUCAGUGAAAUUGAACUCGCUGUGAAGAUGCAGUGUACCCGCGGCAAGACGGAAAGACCCCGUGAACCUUUACUAUAGCUUGACACUGAACAUUGAGCCUUGAUGUGUAGGAUAGGUGGGAGGCUUUGAAGCGUGGACGCCAGUCUGCGUGGAGCCAACCUUGAAAUACCACCCUUUAAUGUUUGAUGUUCUAACGUUGGCCCCUUACCGGGGUUGCGGACAGUGUCUGGUGGGUAGUUUGACUGGGGCGGUCUCCUCCCAAAGCGUAACGGAGGAGCACGAAGGUUAGCUAAUCCUGGUCGGACAUCAGGAGGUUAGUGCAAUGGCAUAAGCUAGCUUGACUGCGAGCGUGACGGCGCGAGCAGGUGCGAAAGCAGGUCAUAGUGAUCCGGUGGUUCUGAAUGGAAGGGCCAUCGCUCAACGGAUAAAAGGUACUCCGGGGAUAACAGGCUGAUACCGCCCAAGAGUUCAUAUCGACGGCGGUGUUUGGCACCUCGAUGUCGGCUCAUCACAUCCUGGGGCUGAAGUAGGUCCCAAGGGUAUGGCUGUUCGCCAUUUAAAGUGGUACGCGAGCUGGGUUUAGAACGUCGUGAGACAGUUCGGUCCCUAUCUGCCGUGGGCGCUGGAGAAUUGAGGGGGGCUGCUCCUAGUACGAGAGGACCGGAGUGGACGCAUCACUGGUGUUCGGGUUGUCAUGCCAAUGGCACUGCCCGGUAGCUAAAUGCGGAAGAGAUAAGUGCUGAAAGCAUCUAAGCACGAAACUUGCCCCGAGAUGAGUUCUCCCUGAGACUUUAAGUCUCCUGAAGGAACGUUGAAGACGACGACGUUGAUAGGCCGGGUGUGUAAGCGCAGCGAUGCGUUGAGCUAACCGGUACUAAUGAACCGUGAGGCUUAACCUUACAACGCCGAAG